rnacentral:rRNA from 1 species
AGUGAACGCUGGCGGUAGGCCUAACACAUGCAAGUCGAACGGCAGCACAGGAGAGCUUGCUCUCUGGGUGGCGAGUGGCGGACGGGUGAGGAAUACAUCGGAAUCUACCUUUUCGUGGGGGAUAACGUAGGGAAACUUACGCUAAUACCGCAUACGACCUACGGGUGAAAGUGGGGGACCGCAAGGCCUCACGCGAUUAGAUGAGCCGAUGUCCGAUUAGCUAGUUGGCGGGGUAAUGGCCCACCAAGGCGACGAUCGGUAGCUGGUCUGAGAGGAUGAUCAGCCACACUGGAACUGAGACACGGUCCAGACUCCUACGGGAGGCAGCAGUGGGGAAUAUUGGACAAUGGGCGCAAGCCUGAUCCAGCCAUACCGCGUGGGUGAAGAAGGCCUUCGGGUUGUAAAGCCCUUUUGUUGGGAAAGAAAUCCUAUCGGUUAAUAACCGGUGGGGAUGACGGUACCCAAAGAAUAAGCACCGGCUAACUUCGUGCCAGCAGCCGCCGUAAUAC